rnacentral:tRNA from 1 species
UCUAAUAUGGCAGAUUAGUGCAAUGAAUUUAAGCUUCAUAUAUAAAGAUUUUAUCCUUUUAUUAGAA